AUUUUAAGGCCCAUUAACUCAACUCUUGAAGUAGCACUGGCUACGAUGGCGCAUAAAGCAUUCAUACACAGACCUUGGAUUCGAACCAGGGUCCAGCAUGGGUCAUAUUAGAAUAGGAAUCAAAAACCGUAUAAUUUGAAAAUGUUAUACGACGCGUGUGUUCCGUUGAAGUGCUUACUAUUAUUUUCAGAUUAAGCGAGAAACGUGGGCGUUACGGACAGCGCACAGCCCGUCGGUCUGUCGAGAAAUACAAUUGACUUGGUAGCUGAAUUUCCAACAUUUUCUGCUUGGCGUGCUCAUUAGCAAGAAAUCUCAUUAGAAACUAAUGAAGCGGACAGAGUGAAAAAUUAAUUUCCCAGCAUAUUUGCUGUGCCCUUCGAACUAAAGCUAAAGCGAAUCGAAAGGGAAAGCCAAUGGGAACAACUACAUAUUUCCAUCCCGUUCAUGCACUAAAUUUUUUCUAUCAAAUAUUAUUUGUACAAUAAACUAAAAUGAGUGAGUGUGUGUGUGUGUUCCAUCCCCUGAGCGCUAGAAUGUACGUAUGUGUUGCUGUGUGUGUGUGUGUGUGUGUGUGUGUGUGUGUGUGU